CCACGAUGCUGAUGAAGAGGCGCGGUCAUUAUCCCCGGAACACAUUGUCAACCUUCUCAUUUAUAUUGGCAGAAUAUAUAAUUACUAUUAACUGACAAAAAUUAAGGAACUGUUGUCAAAAUGCAUGGAGUCAAAUUUGUUGGGCAAGGCACAGACAUUCAGCUUAACAUCAGAAAACCUCUGAAUUCUUGGAACUGUUUAUCACAUGCACAUUAUCAACAUGAUCAAAUCAGAAAGUGAGAUAAUUUCUAUGAUGAAAAGUGAGCUAGAAGUAAGGUGCAAACCAUGAAAGUACCUGACAAGUGGACUUGUAAGAUCUGGUUAUCUGACUUCAUUGGAAGAUGCAAUUGAACAGUUUAAUAAACCAGCUCAAUCAAAUCUAGAUCAUUGUUCCAAUACUCCAGCAAAAAGAUUUAUCAUUAAAAUUCCAGGAAGUCACAGGAACAGAUGUAUUUUAUGGUUUGAUCCUAAACACUAUCAUCAUUAAUAUGGGUUUAAUAUUAUACCAGACUAUUGAGUCUGAGGAUGGAAAAGUUCUUUUCCUUACCGGUAGUUUUCUGUUAAAAUGGAGAACCAAAAUUAUGAAAAGAAGCUUUUUUUCUGGCAUGUGAUAGUAAUUAUUUUAUUGAAGUUGUAUACUGGGUUUACCCUGCAUCCAUUUUCUUCUUGUCUCGUUUUUGGCUAAUGCUUUAAGCUGUUUUCAUGAAUUUAAUGAAUUAUUUAUUUCUAUUGAAAUGAGCUACCUUUUGUUUAAUAGAAAUUUUAGAUUUUCUUUUCCUAGCUAUGGGGAUUUUUUUUGUUAAAAAAUAGGGUGAUUUUCCUGUUUUUGGACAAUAACUCAUGAGUGCUUUGGGCAGUUUUCAUGGAACUUUGAUGAUUGCGUUAUUUCUUUUGAAGUGAGCUCCCUUUAGCUUUUUUUUCUUUAUUUCUGAUAUGACAUAUAGGCGUUAUGGAGUGUUAUAAAUGAGAGGCAUAUCAUAUGCUCAUUGCACUGCUGUAUAUUUAACUAGUUCAUUGUAAAUUCUAUUUCUCAAAUAAGUUUUGUGUGUAACAUCUUUUUUAUUGUAUUUUUUCUUUUAAGUUCCUCAUCAUGCUCAUUUUUCUCUUUAAUACCAAGUUAAUAUAAGUUUUUAACCAAUUGUAACCUGUUGACUUUUUUUUUUAAACAUCAAUUAUAGCAUCAACUAUAUUUAUUGUAUAUUCUAACUAUUUGUUGUGAUGUUUUUUUGUUGUUGUAAACUUUGAAUUGUGAGAAACAAUAAAUGUCCCUUGUUUCAUUGUGAAUGUCACAUGUUUUGUAUCUUGAGUAGCAAUCAGGUAUUCUUAAAAGGAAACAUUUAUUUAAUCUGAACCUCCAACCUCAUUUAGAAACCAACUUUAAUUUUAUUUUCUGAAAAUAUUUAACCAUAUUUAAAUUAAUCCUACAAGUAGCAAGAGAGGCUUUAGGAUUUUGUGAAUGGAAAAGAAAACAUUGUCUGGUAUUGUAAGGACUCUUAUGGGUACAAUUUGUUUCCACAUUUAUGAAAAUUAUAUCAAAGGUUUAUACAUGUAUCAGCAAUGUCUCAUCCAAAUAUAUCUGUUUUCAGUGAUUGUGAUGAAUUUUAUAUUAUAUAUCUGUUAUCUGGGUUUUUUUUUAAAUAUGUAUAACUACUGUUAAUUCAGAAAUUAUUGCGUGCAUUUAUUAUUGUGAUUUUGUCAGUUUAAGACUCGAAUACCAUUUUGAGAAAAAUCCUGUUUAAGUCAUAUAAAAUAUUUCAAAUGCGAGUUUAAAUUAUUGCGUUUACAACUCUGUCACAUUUUUCACAAUAAUAAAAACCUCGCAUUUAUUUCUGAAUUUACAGUAUCUAGUUUUCUUGUAUGAAGCAAAAUGUUAUGUUAUGUUGAUUUCAGGGUUAAUUAUUUUAACUUUGAUAUUUAAUAUUUCACUAUGAAAUCAAAAAGACUUCACAUAUUUUUUUUUUUUUUUCAUGUCAAUUAAGUUAAUAACAGUUUGGUUAUUAUUCCUAAUACCCUAAGGCACACAUGUAUUGUGUGCAACAAGAGCAACACACUAUAGUAUACAAAAUGAUAAAUUGGUCAAUAAAUAUGACAAGAGAAGAAAAACGCAACCCUUUUAUCACUGAGGGUGAAAAGAGUUUUUAUAAGUAUUUGUGAAAUAUGAUCAGGGUAGUACUAGCAUAGGACAAAAUUUUCCAGAUACAUAUUUGAUGGGUAAAAACUCAAUCAAUACUUAUAAGUGUCAUUUUUUAUGCUUCUGUCAAAAAUGAGAAAUAUAUUUAUUGUUGCUUUAACAUGUUUACGGGUAUAAUAUGUGUUAGGAUUAUGUUUUCUAUCGAAGAUUUGGAAGUGAUAUUAAAUGAGUAUUUCUGAUGGUAUAUAUGCUUUGUAGAAAUUAAAUUUUUGCGCCUGUCCCAAGUCAGGAGCCUCUGGCCUUUGUUUGUCUUGUAUUAUUUUAAUUUUAGUUUCUUGUGUACAAUUUGGAAAUUAGUAUGGCGUUCAUUAUCACUGAACUAGUAUAUAUUUGUUAUGGGGCCAGCUGAAGGACGCCUCUGGGUGCGGGAAUUUCUCGCUACA